rnacentral:rRNA from 1 species
UUAUUGUUUAGAGACUAACAAGGAUUCCCUUAGUAACGGCGAGUGAAGCGGGAUGAGCUCAAAUUUAAAAUCUGGUAGUCUCUGGCUGCCCGAGUUGUAAUCUAGAGAAGUGUUUUCUGUGCUGGACUGUGUUCAAGUUUCCUGGAUAUGGAACAUCAUAGAGGGUGAGAAUCCCGUCCUUGACACAGGCUCCCAGUGCUAUGUGAUGCACUCUCAACGAGUCGAGUUGUUUGGGAUUGCAGCUCAAAAUGGGAGGUAAAUUCCUUCUAAAGCUAAAUAUUGGCGAGAGACCGAUAGCGAACAAGUACCGUGAGGGAAAGAUGAAAAGCACUUUGGAAAGAGAGUUAAACAGUACGUGAAAUUGUUAAAAGGGAAACAAUUGAAGUCAGUUGCAUCUACUUGGACUCAGCCUUACUUUGGUUUGGUGCAUUUCCUUGUGGAUGGGCCAGUGUUCAUGUUGAUUGCUGGAAAAGGGGCUAGGGAAUGUGGCUCUUUUGGGAGUGUUAUAGCCUUGGCUCAUAUACAGUGAUUAAUAUGGAGUGGUACAGCAUGCUUCGGUGGUGCUUGUGCUGGCAUAAUGGCUUUAAAUGACCCGUCUUGAAACACGGACCAAGGAGUCUAACAUGUCUGCAAGUAUUUGGGUGAUAAACCCGAGUGCGUAAUGAAAGUGAUAGCUGGGAACCCUGCAAAGGGGGCACCAGUGCCCCGAGCGGAUCUUCUGUGAUGCAUCGGAGGUAGAGCAUAUAUGUUGGGACCCGAAAGAUGGUGAACUAUGCCUGAAUAGGGUGAAGCCAGAGGAAACUCUGGUGGAGGCUCGUAGCGAUUCUGACGUGCAAAUCGAUCGUCAAAUUUGGGUAUAGGGGCGAAAGACUAAUCGAACCAUCUAGUAGCUGGUUCCUGCCGAGUGC